GGGCGUCCCUGGUAAUGGCGCGGGGGCUACAGCCCAAGCCAAGGGCGGCUGACAGUGUUGCACCGAUAUGGGAACACAAAAGGCCAGCCCCUUGCCUUGGGGUGGGACAAGGCCAUGUGCAGCUCAUGCUCCAGGGCUCCCAGCGGACCAGGCUGAGGCCUGAAUCCAGCACUGGCCUUUCGCAGCUUCUCCCUUGGCCUCACCCUGCUUCUCCCAUUUCUUUCCCUAUCGGCUUCUCCGAGGGCGCUCCCUCGGUUAAUCAUUUGCACAGCAAACCUGUCUCAGACUCUGCUUCUAGGAGCCCGCUCUACAGACAACCAUGGCACGGCCGAGGCAGGGGCUUCUGAGAAGGAAGGGAAGCCUUCAAUGGCUUCGGAUCCCAUCUACGCCGCCAGCUACGUGGGCAAGCCCGCAUCUCCAGCUCCGCUUGGAGAUGAGCUGGUUUGAGUUCCCGGGCCUGCCUCUGCUCCUGAAGCUGCCUUCUCUUCCCUUCCUCCCAUGACUCACUCCUCUGGUUUCUCACAGUCCUCUUAAGUUUUAGUGUUUGUGAUGGGGAAGGGCUGGACGCUGGUGGGAAAGUCGAGAGGGCCCGGGUGUAGGGUGGAGCCGUGGCCCUUUUGGGGUCCCUGUGCCUUGGAGGGCUUCCUCCUUCUGCCCCCAGCUUCACUAUGCAGCGGAGCUGGGAAAGGCACGAGCCCGAGGAGGUCUCUGUGCUACUUUUUCAGACACCGGAGCUGCGUAAAGUCUGCAGGGCAUCCGGUGGGAGCCAAGCCUUCAGGACCCCGCCGCAGGUGCCUUUCUGUGUCAGACCCUCCAGGGGAGAAGUGCGACCCGCACCGUCAGGGUGAAGACUGUAGCGGGUGCUUGUGCUCCAAAGAUGACCAUGAUCGCAAGGCCUCCCACGAGCCCAUCCCGUGACAGGGACCCGGCAAAAUGGGCAGUGCUCUGCCGGGGCAAGUCACGACUGCCGGCCAGGGCCAGGCUGCAGGGCGAGAGCCACGGAGCGCUGUCUCUGAACGCUUGACCUCCCCCUUCCGUGGUGAGUGGGGGUGGGUGUGCAGGGUCGGGGGCGUAGUGGGCAGAGCCAUGGUCCCUUAGCUCAGGGGUUGCCGACUCCAAUGCUUACAGGGGCCAGGCAGGUGCUGGAAUGAAGUCAGGCAAGUGGGGUCUGUGGCAAACCAGAGGGCUCCUGCCAGUGUCAAGGAGGGUGGGCGAUGUGCCAAGAACUUGUUCUCAGGGCCCCCUGAAGUUCCCCGGGAUGGGGUGUAAUUCAUAGGACAAACGUUUGGCAGAGAGGAGCAAAGCACAGGAACCGAGGGAGCUGGGGCGAACACAGGGAGGUGUAGGGUUAGUCCUGCAUCAGGGGUCUCGGCUGGCUGCUUCCAGAAUUUCCCGGAAGCCCUGGGCCCCAAGCCAUCCCUCCCCCGGCCUGCCCACGUUCCCCUCCGCCGACGGGUUUCCCACACUGCCUGUGACAGCAGCUAUGGUUCCCACCAGCAAAUGCAGGCGUGUGCCAGGGCCUCUCACGGCCUGGCUCCAGUCCAAGCGGCAGCACCCGGCCGGCUUCAGGGACAAAGGUGUGCGUUACCUCACUGCACCCUGGGGCCGGGGGCUCCACUCUCCGCUGCUGCCGCCAGUCUGCCUGAGCCACACUGGCCUCGGCCUCGGAGGAGGGGGUCUCUGACACCUGGCUCCAGGCCCUGGGCUUUGGGAGGGCCUCUGGGCUGCCGGAAACAGGCUGGGAUUCCUGCUGAAGAGACCCCCCAGCCCGUGAGCCACCCAGCCAGAGUGUUUUCCAGGGCCCUGCCUACGCGACUGGAACACUGCCUCCUGCCCUCUUCGUGGGGCCUCCUCUCACUGAAGAUCAAGGGCCUCCAGGGCCGGAAGCGGGCCGCUGGGAGGCUCCUGGCCAGCCUGGCAUAAAUCUCCCCCUCCUCCCAUUCCCUGGAAGGGUGCAGCUGGGCUGUGAUGCCCAGCUCCAAAAUGCUGGCAACUCCACUUAGGAAGGAUACGCUGACUUCUCCCAUGAGUUCCCACGGCACUCCUUACACACACACACACACACACACACACACACACACACACCAGGGAGCCAGAGUCAACAGGCUCAAGAGAAGGAAAGGAAAAGGAAAAGGAGCAUCCUGGAGAUAACUGGAGGCCGUGGUCCUGGCAACACCCACAUUGCCCUCUCCCAACUCCUACUGUCACUGUCCUGCAGCCUGGUCUGACUCAAGGGGCGGAAGCUGGCCUCCGGGACCCCUGGGAGGCAGAAAGCUGUGGAAGCUAGCCCGAAGCCUCAGAUUCGCUUCUACACACGGGGAACCGUUGUUCCUCACAGCAAAGCCGCUCAGGGCAGGCCUAAAUGAAGCAGCCAGGACGGGCCCCACCGGACAGAGAACCACUCACUGUCUGACCUGAAGACCUAAGGAGAAGCCAUCCGAGCCUGGCUCAGGCCACGGGAAAACUGAGGGGGUGGGGGGCACCAUCUCUUUUGUGCAGACUCUGGUCCUAAGUGUUAAAAAUAACAGGUUGGGAGAUAAGA